ACGGGAGGCAGCAGUGGGGAAUAUUGCACAAUGGGGGAAACCCUGAUGCAGCAACGCCGCGUGAGUGAUGACGGUCUUCGGAUUGUAAAGCUCUGUCUUUAGGGACGAUAAUGACGGUACCUAAGGAGGAAGCCACGGCUAACUACGUGCCAGCAGCCGCGGUAAUACGUAGGUGGCAAGCGUUGUCCGGAUUUACUGGGCGUAAAGGGAGCGUAGGUGGAUAUUUAAGUGGGAUGUGAAAUACCCGGGCUUAACCUGGGUGCUGCAUUCCAAACUGGAUAUCUAGAGUGCAGGAGAGGAAAGGAGAAUUCCUAGUGUAGCGGUGAAAUGCGUAGAGAUUAGGAAGAAUACCAGUGGCGAAGGCGCCUUUCUGGACUGUAACUGACACUGAGGCUCGAAAGCGUGGGGAGCAAACAGGAUUAGAUACCCUGGUA
rnacentral:rRNA from 1 species